rnacentral:lncRNA from 1 species
UGAGGCUCCCUGCUUUCGCACAAGCUAAAUCUGCAAAAGAAAAUAGCCUUUCAGGCUACACAGACUGCUUUUAUCCUAUAUGACCCGCAAAAGGCAUGUGUCGUGGAAAUUCAGUACUGAGAGAGACUUGGUCAUUUCUUCAAACAAUCAUCUUUAUUUAAUAUCGAUUAAUUAUUGCAAUAAUGAGACGGUUAGGCUGAGAGUCUAGCCUUUAUUGAAGAUGCAUAGUUUUUAUAUAGCUGAUACCAAGAUUGCUUAGUCAGUCAUUUCUAACCUUCCCAUAAGCCACCUUACUUACUUUCCCAGAUGCCAGGAAGAUGAGACAAUAAGGCAUUGUUCUUAACUCUUCCAGACUCUCUGCCUAUAGACUGCUAGCUUUUAGGUUUUUAUCACCAACACAAAUCAAUUGUCAGCUUCAAGCUAUCUCUAGUAGAACCCAUGUCCUCAACAACAGGUGCUAGAAUGGAGACCAUAAAACACAGCAUUAGCAGGACAGAAAUAUCUUACUGUUCGUUAAGUAAAUAAUUGUUACAUUGUCAACAAAUAAGGUGAAUACAUAAUUUCUCUCACAUAAGCAUACAGUCCAAUUCAAGUUGGAGAGUUCAUCUGAUUUUAUUUCCACCAAAACCACUGGCGACAGUGAAUGCUAUUGCUAUCACUCCCAUGUGAGGGUUAAGGGUAAUAUUGACGGCAUUCCAGAUUGGCUUUUUUUGCAGGCACGCUCAACAGAUGAUUAGAUCUCACAACGUCUAAGGAAGUGUCUUGUUACCAAUUCAUAUAGAAAACUUCUGAGAUGCGUAGCACGACUGCAAAAAAGAACCUGGAACGUCACCAAACAUGAGUCAAGAUUUGUUUGUGUGCGUGCAUAAUGAUGUUUCUGUAGAGUGAGGCCGCUUGAUUUACAAGUUCACCCCCUGGACAGGACGCUAGAAAGAUGUACAGUAUUACCUUAUAGACAGUGGGUGGUUGCUAUGGUGAUGUCGUACAGGUGAGACCUCUGGUCAGGUAGGUACUCGUCUGUGAACUGGCUGCUGUCCCGAUUCAGAGCAAUGACUCCGUCCCUAUAAACACCACAGAGAAAAAAACAAAUCAACUCAACUACCAUCACAAUGAACAUAAUUUACAGGGUUUGCACUUUUUGGGACUAUUAUCUUGGUUCCGUUGCACCCAGCAACCUCAAAUGCAGCUUAAGUAUCUGACAGAAAACAAAUUCUAUUUGUAACCAGAUGUGUCUCUGUCUUACCUCCUCCAGUCUUUGAAGUAGAAGUGGAUGGCAUAAAAUACCAUACUGAAGGGGUAGUUCAAGUUGCUGUGGAUCACCCUUCUACCCGUCCCAUCAGACACAAUGCACUCAACGCUUGGUCCCUGAGAGCGAGAAAGAGAGGGUGUGUAUGUGAGAGAGAGGGUAAGGAAGAGAUGUUAUAGGUUUCAUUUGGUUGAUAACAGUAUAAGUUCCCUUCUUAGUAUGUAGAGUAGUAUCCAGACUGUAUGCAUCUGAACUGUGUACCACCUCUUUGACUACUCCAGAACGACUUGGCCCCAUCCCCACUUCUUACAGUACUGAAAAGUGACAGCGGCACAUUUUUUGAAUAGCUUACCAUACAUUUAAUAGCUUACCAUUUUAGUAUCAUAAAAUGGUCAUUAUUACAGUAUAGGUAUAGCUGAACUUUAUAAUGAGAAUAGGAAAAACCAAAAAACUGUAGGAUACAUAGAGACUUGUAUGACAGAGACAUAGCAACUUGAGCCUUGAACUAAUGAAAGUGCCCCUAAACCCUGAUCUGUUUAGCAUUUUUCCCUUAUGAUGAAGGUGAGGAUUUGGGGAGAGAAAGCUGGUUGUAGUUAUAUUCCUUCAGACCCCUUAAGUGUGGUUCUUUACACUCCAAGCUCCUAGAGGAGGCAGGGGAUUCAUACCUGCGUCCACCCAGCACACUUGUCUCGUGGCUGUGUCAAAGGUCAAGGCAUUGGGCAGGCCGAUUCCGUCUUUCACCAGCACCUUCCUGCUGUGGCCGUCCACUGAGGAGCUCUCAAUCUUUGGGGCCUCCCUGUUCCAGUCGGUCCCUUACAGGGUCCUAGAGAGAGACCACACACAGUUAGAAAGGAGACAGGGCAAUCAUGGUGGUGUUGAUGGUGGCUCAGUUGGUUCGGAAAUGGUGUAAGUGUAACUGGUGGGAAUCGAACCCGGGUCUCCCGCUCUCCAACCCAACGUUUUAACCAAGUUCAAGAAUACAUCCUUGAGAUCAAAGGGAGACAUUUUGGGUUAUAACUCAAAUCAAUUUGCAUUUGUUAUGCUUUGUAAACAACAAGUGAAAUGCUUACUUAUGGGCCCUUCCCAACAACUCUCCAGCAGGGAGUGCAACCUAAUCACGAGCGUGAUUCCAAAUCCCCUUCUCUACACACCAAGGUUAUGGGUUCAAUUCCCGCAUACUGUUCAUAUGCGUGUUAAAAGUUUCUACUUUCUACCUAAAUUACCAUAUAAAAAUUUGAACCAUGAGAAAAACCUGUCCACGCUUAAAUGUAUUGUCAUUGUAAAUACCUACAGUGGGCUGUGUUCAAUCUGCGUUGCGGAAACUCAGCAUACAGCGUAAUUGAAACGUAAAGGCAAUGUUCAUGGUAAGAAUGCAUUCACGGUAAACGCUGCAUAUGUCAGCUCAAUCAGAAAUUACCUUUGAAUUUCUAGCGUGGAAUCUGUAAUGCUUCAGCUUUAUAUUGCGUCAAAGAAGUUCACAUUUCUCCGCUUAUGAAAAAAAUAUUUUCAGAGCUGAUGGCGGAAUUAAGUAAUGUGCUGGAGGAUAAAAAGACAGACAACACAACUGUCAAAAAGAAGGAAGACAUGGGCUGUUUUGUGCGACAAAUGGAUCAACAGGGAUUACAGAGAAGAGGGACACAAAUCAGAUGAAGGCGUGCUGUAAAAAUAAACAAUAAAAUUGAAAGCCUAAAAGAAUGCCUCUGUUUAAGGGAAUUGAUCCUCUCUCACAGAAGAUAUUCAAGAUUAUUCCUCAGCAGUUUGCCCCUCUCCUUAUCCCCUAUGAUUACGACGGACAACUCAACCCACCAAUAUUGAGCCGACACCCUGUGUGGUGGAGAAACAGCACCAGCAAAAACACCAGAGAGGCCAAGUAAAUGCCCCAUAGCUGACAUGAACCAGCUCAUACUGAUGUUUUGAAGCUGGAGCUGUAAGGUCCUGUAUUUAUUUUCUUAGUCAACCUUGUGUUCUGUUUCAUUGUGUUCUUGAACGUAGCCCUGUUUCUUUGUGUUCUUGAAAGUAGCCCUGUCUUUAAUUUUUGUUCAUUGAUUUUACCUGUGUUAGUUACUCACCUGGUCUCAUCAGCUCCUUAUUUAGUUCAGUUCAAUCUGUUUGUGCCUUUGUGAGAUAUUGUUCAUUUUGACUCUACUAAGCCUUUUCCUAGCUCGGUUGUGAGAACCAGUGAUAGCCUUCAGUCCUAGGUUUGAUUCACCUGCCUGUUAGCCUACCUGUGUAUGACCAUUGCCUGCCUGUGACCACGAAUCCUGCCUUCUGCGAAGGUGAAAUAAAUACCUGCCGCGCUCUACACGUGAAUCUACUGUACACCUUUUUCUCCCUGAGUAUUCAUUACAGGAGUGAGAGAAAAAUCUACUGCAGAUUGAGGUCCAGAAUUUACAGAAAGAGCUACUGCAAAUUCAGGAACAGAAACUCCAUCAGGGAAACAAAUGCCCAC